UACGGAGGGAGCUAGCGUUGUUCGGAAUUACUGGGCGUAAAGCGCACGUAGGCGGCUUUGUAAGUUAGAGGUGAAAGCCCGGGGCUCAACCCCGGAAUUGCCUUUAAGACUGCAUCGCUUGAAUCCGGGAGAGGUGAGUGGAAUUCCGAGUGUAGAGGUGAAAUUCGUAGAUAUUCGGAAGAACACCAGUGGCGAAGGCGGCUCACUGGACCGGUAUUGACGCUGAGGUGCGAAAGCGUGGGGAGCGAUCCGG
rnacentral:rRNA from 1 species